AUGAUUUCCACUCUACUUCCCAGACAGGAGAAAUUGUCGGAUGAUGGAAUGAACACAUUGGACUUCUCCCUGGCCCUCCCUCCUGCCUUCCCAGGGAUGAAAGAGCCUGUUGACAAAUUGGGUGAUGGAACUGGUUCACAGGCCAUGAAGGAGGAACACUGUCCAUGGGAGGAAUGUUCCCUGUUUGCCUGCUUGUGGAUGCAUGUUUUGACUACAGAAGCUAGUCUUUGGAGAGAUACAAGUACUACAAAACAUGGUAUGUUAGUGGCCUGUCUUUUUAGUUUUGAAGCCACCUCCUCCAUUUUCCUCUGUGCCUCAGCUAUCCAAAAUUCUCUGCCUUCAGUGCUUUAUUUACUGAUAGCUUUUGGCAGCAAACUCAAUUACUUUGUCCCCUCAAGAUAAUUAUUCAAAGUGACAGUUUGAGUCGAUAAUUAUCCAAAGCUCCAUUAUUGUUACCCAUAUCCUUUGAUCUGAGAGCUACUCUGAUGUCAAACACCAUUUACCGUCUUUAUUUGUGUGUUUUCAUUAUAAAUUUAUGUAGUCUUCAGUUCCCCUUUCAUUCCUAUUGGCUUUCUA
rnacentral:lncRNA from 12 species